UUAACAAAAACAUGUCCUUUUGAAUAUAAUUUAAGGUCUAAUCUGCUCAAUGAAGGUUAAAUUGCCGCAGUAUUUUGACUGUGCAAAGGUAGCAUAAUAAUUAGCUUCUUGAUUAGGAGCUGGAAUGAAUGAUUGGACAAGAAAAUUUCUGUCUCUAUUUAAUUGUUUAUUGAAUUUUAUUUCUAAGUUAAAAAGCUUAGAUCUUUUUAAAAGACGAGAAGACCCUAUAGAGUUUAAUAUUUUAUUUUUAUUUAAUAAUAGUAUUUUUCUUAAAUUUUAAAUAUUUAAUUGGGGUGAUUUAAAGAUUUGAAUAAUUCUUUAAUUUUUUUAUUGAUGAUAAUUAAAUUAUAAAUCUAUAUUUUUAAAUUUAAUAUAAAUUACCUUAGGGAUAACAGCGUAAUUUUUCUUUAAAGUUCUUAUUAAAAGAAGAGUUUGCGACCUCGAUGUUGGAUUAAAAUUAAUUUUUGGUGCAGUAACUUAAAAAUUAGGUCUGUUCGACCUUUAAAAUUUUACAUGAUCUGAGUUUAAACCGGUGUAAGCCAGGUUGGAUUCUAUCUUUAGAUUUUUUUGUAUAUUUUAGUACGAAAGGACCAAAUAUAUGUUAUAUUAAUUG
rnacentral:rRNA from 1 species